AAAUUGAAGAGUUUGAUCAUGGCUCAGAUUGAACGCUGGCGGCAGGCCUAACACAUGCAAGUCGAACGGUAACAGGAAGCAGCUUGCUGUUUCGCUGACGAGUGGCGGACGGGUGAGUAAUGUCUGGGAAACUGCCUGAUGGAGGGGGAUAACUACUGGAAACGGUGGCUAAUACCGCAUAACGUCGCAAGACCAAAGAGGGGGACCUUCGGGCCUCUUGCCAUCAGAUGUGCCCAGAUGGGA
rnacentral:rRNA from 1 species